rnacentral:rRNA from 1 species
UACGAAGGGGGCUAGCGUUGUUCGGAAUCACUGGGCGUAAAGCGCACGUAGGCGGAUGUGCCAGUCAGGGGUGAAAUCCCGGAGCUCAACUCCGAAACUGCCUCUGAUACAGCACGUCUUGAGUUCGAGAGAGGUGGGUGGAAUUCCUAGUGUAGAGGUGAAAUUCGUAGAUAUUAGGAAGAACACCGGUGGCGAAGGCGGCCCACUGGCUCGAGUACUGACGCUGAGGUGCGAAAAGCGUGGGGAGCAAACAGG